UUUGUGCCCACGGAUGAGAUGGCAGUGACAAAGUGAAAGCCGGGGAGAUGUCAAUGGCAAGGUGCAGAGGGUGUUGCUGUCAGUCUGAGCUGUCUGUGGGGACGGGGUGGGGUGGCCCAGCACUGCAGGUUAACAGCAGAGCCUUUGGUGCCCAGAUGAGCUCUGCAGAACUGCAAACUGCAGGAGUUGUGUUGUUUCUGUACAGGGAGACAAGAGGAUGCUCCAGCACCUGGCACCUGGAGUGAAUCCACAAGUGACAGACUCCCUGGAGCCCGGGGUUCUCCCAGGGCUGGAUCCCCUGGCUCAGUGCACCCUCAGGAGGGUCUCCCGACCCUUGAAAACCUCGGGGAACAUCUCUGCCACCCCCCCAGGCAGCAAUCUGUGGCCCUGAAGUUAAUAAAGCACGGAGACCCUGCAGAGAGUUUGUAACUUCUGCUCAAGUGCAGCGGCUCUUCUCAUUGCCCAGCUGCGUGUGAAGUUGUUUCAUCAAUAAAUAAAGUUUGGGCUUCCUGUCAGCAGUGAAUUACUCUCAGCAGUUCGAUCCACUCAAAGCUCUGAAGCGUCAGCGCUGCAUUUUCCCGUGCAGUAACGUUCUGGAGGCACGCUCCCGAGGCAGAGGGCAGGCAGUCUUUAUUAAACUGUCCCUCCAAGUGCAUUUUGAAGGAUAAAUUUCCCUGGCAGGAGUAUGUUUGUGUCUGCAGAAAUGUCCCUGCAGGGGAAUGUCACCUGCACAUGCCCAGCCUGUUCCUGCAGUCACUUUAUUCCCUUCACUGGGGGACACGCAGACCCAACUUCUGUGUCCCCCACCCCAAAACAGAAGUGAGAGUUUCCCAAAUUUUAGCUGAGUUUGGUGAUCUGCAGCAAAACGUGUGCUGGUGAGAAAGGGGGCCCUGGGUGUCCCCUGGGAAAUGCUGAGGGAAGCUGGAGCACCGAUCCCCUGGUGUGCUCCAGAUGUGGAGGGAUGCUUUGAUUCCUCAGAACAGUAAUACUGGGGAGAGCUGCAGGCUUGAAGAACACGAGACCUGGGGCAGAAAGGCACGGAUCUCUGUUUUUCUCCCAGAAACACCAUGUAAAACAGGCAGAGUCUGCGGAUCACCCUCUCUCUCCCCACAGAUUGCCUUUCUUUUCUUUGAAAAACUCGAUGGCAGGUGCAGAGACCCUCGGUACCACACCCUGUUUGUAGUGGGAGUCAGGAUUUAUCUAUCUGUAUUCUAUUUAUUUGGGUUUUAUCUAUUUAUCCGUUUGUGGUAGGGUCAGGAGCUGAGCAGGCUCCAGCUGUUCGGGGUUUCUUACAAGGGAAGAACAACUUUGUUGUCCAGACCCGCUCUGCUGCCUCUGCUUCUCCCUGGAGCACCCCAAAACUCCUGAUUCUUACACAGCUGUGGCAGCAAGCUUCAGGCCCCAAACCCUGGGUAAGAACCGGUCAUUUUGGGUAAAGAGCAGCAGGGAGGAGAGUAUCAAACUGAAACACGAGGUCAGAGCCUCUCCAGGUAAUAGCCCGGGGGCUCUGCUGCACAAUUGAAGUAUCAGUGCAAUUUUAAUGCAAUUUGUUCUGUAUGGAAAGUCCAGGGAGGAAAUGUUCCUUUCCCCUGGGCUGAGAGGAGAAGCUGGAGGCUGCUUGCUCUGUGCCCAAGGCCAGGUCAUUCGCUCUCCAGGCGGAGGAUGAUUGCUUUCUGCAGGUCAGUGAAUCACCGUACGCUCAGCGCUGGGGCGAUGUGAAAUUUCUGAAGUUCCAAUUUAAUGCAUUUCGGCCUUGGAGAAUGAGCUGCAGUCGCCUCUUCUCUUAGCAGACCCGAGUGUCCUUGCUCACCACGCUCCACUCUCCUGGAUACCAAAUUGCUUCAUCAUUCCGGCUGCUAAUGAAACCGGGAUUGAAUUAAUGGGAACAUGUGUGCCGGUCAGGAGAGGGCUGGACCAUAAAGUGCCUGAUUUCUCAAUGAGUUUAUCUUUCCAUUAAUCAUCUGUUGAUCACCAGAGUUCCUCUGCAUCCAAACAGAUCUGCCGGGGACAGCAGACCAGGACUCUGCUCUCCACGAGGGAGUUUUAACAACUUCUGGUGUGUAAAGGAAGAUUUUCUAAAAGUUGUUUUUAAGCUCCAAAUAGCUCAUUUUAAACAUCCUUCUGCCUUUCUGGAAAAGUUCCUUUAAGUU